CCUACGUGUGGCAGCAGUGAGGAAUAUUGGUCAAUGGGCGAGAGCCUGAACCAGCCAAGUCGCGUGAGGGAGUACUGCCCUAUGGGUUGUAAACCUCUUUUGUCGGGGAGCAAAAGCCGUACGUGUCCGGCUUUGAGAGUACCCGAAGAAAAAGCAUCGGCUAACUCCGUGCCAGCAGCCGCGGUAAUACGGAGGAUGCCAGCGUUUUCCGGAUUUAUUUGGUUUAAAGGGUGCGCAGGCGGAUUUUUCAGGCAGCGGUCAAAUUGUGGGGCUCAACCCCAUCCAGCCGUUGAAACUGGGGAUCUAGAGUGUGCGAUAGGUAUGCGGAAUGCGUGGUGUAGCGGUGAAAUGCAUAGAUAUCACGCAGAACCGCGAUUGCGAAGGCAGCAUACCGGUGCACAACUGACGCUCAGGCACGAAAGCGUGGGUAUCGAACAGGAUUAGAUACCCGUGUAGUC
rnacentral:rRNA from 1 species